UACGUAGGGUGCGAGCGUUAUUCGGAAUUACUGGGCGUAAAGCGUGCGUAGGUGGUUUGUUAAGUCUGAUGUGAAAGCCCUGGGCUCAACCUGGGAACGGCAUUGGAAACUGGCUUACUAGAGUGCGGUAGAGGGGUGUGGAAUUCCCGGUGUAGCAGUGAAAUGCGUAGAUAUCGGGAGGAACAUCUGUGGCGAAGGCGACACCCUGGACCAGCACUGACACUGAGGCACGAAAGCGUGGGGAGCAAACAGG
rnacentral:rRNA from 1 species